rnacentral:tRNA from 1 species
GCCGGAGUGGCGAAAUUGGCAGACGCACUACCUUGAGGUGGUAGCGCCCUCACGGGCUUGGGAGUUCAAAUCUCCCCCCGCGCA